AAGCCAUGUCGUGAUGUGAAUACACACACAUUUCUCUCUGGACCUAAAAAUCUCUCCCUUCUCUCUAAAAACAAAAGGAACCGCCACCUAGAUUUUUUAUAUUCAUAGUGGCUUCCAUAGCACUAGAGCCGGUAAAAUUCUUUCUCUUUCUUUGUUUUUCUCUUUUUUCGGCACAUCCAUGAUUUUUCUUCCAACGGAAUCAAUUCUAGUUUUCUAGAUCUAAAUAUUUAAAGCUUAAAUCUCCUCCUCCUUUGGUUUUUGAUGUUUUGCUUUUUUGUCUCCGCCAUUCUCAGCAUCAUAUCUGGUUGUAUCUUUCUUGGUAGGUAGAAGCAGUCUUCAAUCGGUUCUUCUCUGCCUCAGAUUAAGAAAUUUCGCCAUCGUAAAUCUAGAUCUUCUUCCUUUCUUCAAGAGACGUUCUUUGAGUCUCUAUUUUUUUGGAUGCGUUUCACCGCCUCUGUGACUUCUCGAGAGUAUUAUAAAGAGGGUCACACGACACUUUCAUUUGGUUUUAACUUGUUAUAAAGAAGAUUCUUGUAUUAUAAUCUGUUUGUGUGUUUUUCUAAGUCUCAGUUUUGUUUUAAUUUGCAAGGUUUAGGUUUUGUUAAUCUUUUUUUUGAAUUUCCAGAUUCUGAUCCAGAAAGUAUUAAUGGAUGUUGUGUAGUUUAUUUGCUCGGGUUUUUUUCCCUUUGUUUACUUUGUUUGAUCAUUGUUUCUGGUGUUCUUGUACUCGCCGACUAAUGUUUCCGGAAGUGUUCAUGUACUUGCCGGCUCUUUGUAAUUCACUUUAAACCUUAUCAAUAGAAUCUUUUUGAUGAAAAAGAAGAAGAAGCCAUGGAGCUAUUCAAACUCAUCUAACCGAUUGGAUAAAACAGCUCAUUCAUAGGAGACUACGCC
rnacentral:misc_RNA from 1 species